rnacentral:rRNA from 1 species
UACAGAGGUCUCAAGCGUUGUUCGGAUUCAUUGGGCGUAAAAAGUGUGUAGGUGGCACGCUAAGUCAAGUGUGAAAUUUCGGAGCUUAACUCCGAAACUGCAUUCGAUACUGGCGUGCUUGAGGACUGGAGAGGAGACUGGAAUUCAUGGUGUAGCAGUGAAAUGCGUAAAGAUCAUGAGGAAGACCAGUGGCGAAGGCGGGUCUCUGGACAGUUCCUGACACUGAGACACGAAGGCCAGAGGAGCAAACGGG